GUGCUCGAUGGUGGUGAUAUCAACCAAAACAAAACAUAAAAAAACUAAAAGAAAAAAGACCUGGUUCCUGGUGUAUUUGGGAAGAAAAAAGAAAUAUUCAGAAAGAGAGAAUAUGCCCAGAAGGAUUUGCUGAUAAUAUAUCACCUUAGUUCCUCAGGGAAGCCACCCCUGACUGCCCAGUUAGGAUUCUUUACCCUUUCAGUUCCAAGUGACAAGAAAGAAAGAAAGAAAAAGAAAGAAAAGGAAAGAAAAAAAGAAAGAAAGGAGAAAAAAGAAAGAAAGAAAGGAGAAAGAAAGAAGAAAGAAAGAAAAAAAGAAAGAAGAAAGAAAAAGAAAGAAAGGAAGGAAGGAGGAAAGAAAGGAGGAAAGGGAAAGGAAGAUGUCAAUCACUCAAUGAAACUGGCUUAAGGGCUUCCCUGGUGGCACAGUGGUUAAGAAUCCGCCUGCCAAUGCAGGGGACGUGUGUUCGAGCCCUGGUCCAGGAAGAUCCCACAUGCCGCGGAGCAACUAAGCCCGUGCGCCACAACUACUGAGCCUCUGCUCUACAGCCCGCGAGCCACAACUUCUGAAGCCCGCGCGCCUACAGCCCAUGCUCUGCAAUGAGAAGCUGGAGCAACACAAGGAAGAGUAGCCCCCGCUCGCCACAACUAGAGAAAGCCUGUGCACAGCAACGAAGACCCAACGCAGCCAAAAAAAAAAGUCGGGGUGUUUACAUGACCUUUGCUUCUAAAAGCAAAAAAAAAAUGAUACUGGCUUAAGCAGGAAGAGGGGAAUGAGCUGGCUCACACCACUAGAAUGUUUAUUGGUUUAUUGGUAGUUGAUACGAGGCUGGGUCCACGUGUUUAAUAUCUUUGGAAUGUCAGUUUCUUGGCUCUGCUCUCCUCUGUUAGCUUCAUCCUCAGGUUGCAGCCUCAUGUCUCAGGUUGCUCUCCUCAUGUUGUGGCCACCGGCAUCCCCAAGUGUCUUGUUUUAGCCCUGCUGGUCAAUUGAAGAAGUGCAUCUCAUUCUCAAUGGCUCCAGGAAAAGUUCCAAAGCUCUCAUUGAUCUGGCCUGAGGCACAUGAAGCAUUCUUGAACCAAUCACUGUGGUCAUGGCGGUGCAGUACAGGCAUACCUCAAAGAUAUUGUGGGUUCAGUUCCACACCUCCACAAUAAAGUGAAUAUUGCAAUAAAGCAAGUCAUGAA